AUUUUCUAAAUGCCUAAACCUAAUUAUAGAAACCAGAGAGUGAUGACAUCUGAGGGUUAGUUCCAAGAAAAGACAAAAGUUCUGAAACUUAAGACAAUAUUGGCUGGUAAGGAAAAUGUCAGUAGGCCUACAGUAGCAAAAAUAAUAUAAUAAUAGAAAAAAAAAUGUAUUCCUUUAAAACCUUCUAAUGAAUUAAUCAACUAUAGCAAUUGACACAUAAUUUGGAAAAUAAUAAACUCUGCAGUGGCUACCAAUUAAAGAUGAGCUCCAAAGUCCAUGUAUGACAUUAGCGUGAUCUAUGAGCAGGCCAUUCUGGCAGGGACUCCAUCUAUUAAAGAGAUGAAACAUGCAAUUGUACAAUAGAUAUUCUAACAAUGCAGAGUCAAGAAAAAAUUAAACUUGGAGGAAAUUUUGAGGAGUCUUGUCCAACCAAGGUACAAAUCCAAGAAGUCGACAUCAAAAAGCCAAGAAAAGAGAAAACAGACAUCAUAAAAAUGUGGGUAUUUCAAAGUUGUGAAAAAGAGGAAGAUGACAAAACAAAAGAUCCAACCAAUGAUAGUAAAACCCCCAAUGCAGAAACUAUGGAGGGUUGUUAAUGAAAUGUAAUGUGUCUAUAACAGCAUACUCGCAAAGUGUAGGAAGAAGAUGGCAGUUUGACGAAAUGAAUUCUACAUUUAAAGAGCUGAAGUUUCUAACACCAGUUAGAUGUUCUCAACCUCUUCAAAACAAGACUGCUAAGUUGCCAGAUAUGUUCAAAGAUCAUUAUUCGUGUGUGUCUUCAUUGGAACAGUUAACAGAGUUGGGAGGUGAAAUUGUUGUAUAUGCUUGUCCUAAGGCAGCUCUGUGCAGAUGUAUGUGGAGACCAAAACCACAGCAGAGAAAAAAAGAAUGGCGGUGUGUUGUUUGUUUAUUGUGGUUUUUGCAUAUAGGUCAGGAGUUGGCCACAUACCUAAGUGUUCGCUAACAUUCACAUUACGCAGGUGUUGUGUUGUGUGUGUCAGCAAGUUAAGUCCCAUAUUGUCUAUCUCAACAGACUAAGAUUUUUGUCUAAGAUAGGUGAAUUUUGUCAACUAGUUUACUAUGUUCCUUGAAUAUAGUUAAUAAAUGUCAUUUUAGUUUCAGUGGUAUUUCUAAAACUUAAGCUUGCUUUGUAAUAUAAAAAUUUACUGUUAAAUCAUGAUACUGUAAACAGUUCUCCCAACAAAUAUAAGUACUACCAAGAAAAUUGUGUAUGUUUUUGAAAUAAUACUUAAAUGUCAUAGAUAUAUCCUCUACCUGCUCUGUAGUUUCAAAUAAGUAAUUGGUAAUUGUAAGACAUGAGAUCAUUUUAAAACUGUGUGAAAUAUGAAUCUGGUUGAAAAUCACAUAAAUAGUCUUUAUGUUCCUAUGUU